GAUGAACGCUAGCGGGAGGCCUAACACAUGCAAGCCGAGCGGUAGAGUUUCUUCGGAAACUUGAGAGCUGCGCACGGGUGCGUAACACGUGUGCAACCUACCUUUAUCUGGGGGAUAGCCUUUCGAAAGGAAGAUUAAUACCCCAUAAUAUAAUGAUUGGCAUCAAUUAUUAUUGAAAACUCCGGUGGAUAGAGAUGGGCACGCGCAAGAUUAGAUAGUUGGUGAGGUAACGGCUAACCAAGUCAAUGAUCUUUAGGGGUCCUGAGAGUGAGAUCCCCCACACUGGUACUGAGACACGGACCAGAAUGCUACGGGAGGCAGCAGUGAGGAAUAUUGGAGAAUGGGUGAGAGCCUGAUCCAGCCAUCCCGCGUGAAGAAGGACGGUCCUAUGGAUUGUAAACUUCCUUUGUACAGGGAUAAAACUACCCUCGUGAGGGUAGCUGAAGGUACUGUACGAAUAAGCACCGGCUAACUCCGUG
rnacentral:rRNA from 1 species